rnacentral:lncRNA from 1 species
GGUUGAUCACUUUGGGGGCAUGGGCUCACCACGGACCCCUCCAAUUCUGUUUGGCACUCUUUACUUUCCCAAAAGGUGACUCUGGAAGGGACCUCAAGGUCGAGAUGGGCCCUCGGAGGCUUUAGAUGCCGAAGCAGUUUCGUUUGGCCGAGUCAGCUGAAGGAGCACGUGGGCCUGUAAUGGGGGGUGUGCGUGUGCCGGGGGCCGGUUCACACGCCCGGGACUCCUGUGGGCAGCACGGCUCAGCUUCCCCUGUCUGUUAAUGGUACAAUCUGUUCAGACCUUUGGAACAUUCCUCAGCUUUUAUUUAAUGUGGGAAGAAUCAUUUCUGGAAUUAGCAUAUAAAUUGGCACAAGUCAGCAACUCGGGCAGAAAGCGCGUUCCCAGGUGUCAGGCUGGACGGCGGGGACGAUGACCCAGUGCUCCAGGCUCUGGCUCCUUCCGUCUUCCUUCAAGGGGCUGUGGGCGUCCACCCCUGAGAAGCCGCAGACGAGCUGAUCCUUGUCGUGCUGACUUCUGCUCAUCGUGUCCUGGACAACCUCGGGGCUGGGUUUCCUCUUCUCGGUGGCUUGGCCCCCAGGCCCGGCCUGGGUCGCUGCUCUGCCUUCCUCAUGGACCAGCGUGUCUGACGUUCUCCCCCCACAAGAUUCCUGCGUGGCUUUCGGUCGGUUGAAAGUCACUCAAAUAGGCUUCCUGAAUAACAGAGUCGGGCAGCUCGCUAGAUGCUCAUUUUUUGCAUUCAUUGAAUUUUCUAACAACCUUCCGGAAACGUCCUUUCCUUGCAGAAUUCAAAGGCAUUUGCAAAGCAUUAAAGAAACAUGCUCCCUGGACGCCCCCUGCUCGUUCUGCUGACCCCGCUUCCUUAAGACAAGUAUCCCCCCCGCCCCAAGCAGCCCCUGCUCUGCCUGCCCCUCUGCCUUGGCCCCGCCUCCCCGGUCUUCUCUCCUUCUGGGGCUCCGCAGCUUCCAGGGGACAAUUCCAAAUGGCAGAUCUCAGCCCUCACCUUGGGCUUAGAACUUUCCAUGGCUCCUCAGGAUAAACGUCUAACAGAAAAAUCCCAACGCCUAUCCCCAGGGUGGCUCCGAGGACGUCCCUGGGCCCAGCAUCGCCGUCCCUUUUCUGUGUCUGUG